rnacentral:rRNA from 1 species
UACGGAGGGAGCUAGCGUUGUUCGGAAUUACUGGGCGUAAAGCGCACGUAGGCGGCUUUGUAAGUUAGAGGUGAAAGCCCGGGGCUCAACUCCGGAACUGCCUUUAAGACUGCAUCGCUUGAAUCCAGGAGAGGUGAGUGGAAUUCCGAGUGUAGAGGUGAAAUUCGUAGAUAUUAGGAAGAACACCAGUGGCGAAGGCGGCUCACUGGCCCGGUACUGACGCUGAGGCGCGAAAGCGUGGGGAGCAAACAGG